UCAGCACCGCUGUGUUUCUUGGAUUCUGCAGGCGUUUGGUAUCGCUUGACAGUGUGACGUUACAGUCGAGCAGCCGAGAACACAUGAAAACAACCUAUGGAGGACAGACGAGGCGGUGUGUGUGCUACUAGGCUACAGGGAUUUUUACUACUGCUGCUCCCCUCUUCCUCCUCCUCCUCCUCCUCCUGGAGCGCUUCAGAGCUGUGAGGGUUGUUUCACCUGGGCAGACAUGGCAGACACUUUGAGGAGACUUACCAAUACUUCUUCGUUUAGCGUGUUGCAGGACAAGCUGGAGACCUGGUACAGGGACUACCAUGUCAUUUCCUGUGAUCAGAAUCUGAACAGAUGUUGUGAGUUGAUUGAACUGACUGCUAAGAUCCAGGGACAACUGUUUGCUAUCCUGAAUCUCACAGCAGCUGAAGGCAGUCACUACGCUGGAGUUGAUACUCUGAAGACACGACUGCUCCCGUGGCUGGGGACAUGCUUCUCCAUAUCGAGGCCAUCCGUCACAGAUGACACAAGUCUGCAGCUCAUCCAGGAUUUAGCAGAGAAGGAAAGAAAGAUCAGGGAACUCUCUGUCUCCCAUCAGAGCGACACGGAGAAGAUGGAGACUCGGCUGAGCUCUGCUCGUCUACAGCUGGAGUCCGUAAGAGGAGAGCUUGUGGAUGCUCAGACUGCUCUAGAUGAGACCAGGAACAAGUCAGCGACUACCCUACUUGCUACUGAAGAGGAAAUCUUACAGCUAAGGGCAGAUUUGCAAUCUGCCCAUGAGCAGGUGGGAAUUUACAAGAGGAAGCUGGAUGCUCUCGAUGACUACGAGAGACAGAUUCGCUUGUUGAAGGAGGAAGUGUUCUAUCUGAACUCAGAGAAGGCCAUGCUGCAGGAGAGAUUGGUGCGAAGUCGCUCUCCGAGCCCUGUGAGGAGUCAGUCGCCCACCAGAGCCCAGCUCACUAACUCUUCCCGCCGUGCACGCCUCGUCUCACGCUUCAGCGAUCUGUACGCUGUGGAGCGUCUGGAGGCACAGAGCAUCCUUCGGCGCUAUAUCCCUGACUUGGAGAUGGUCCAGAAAAUUGUCUUCAUUGCUGUUGUGGAGUCCUUCCAGACAGCUAAACUGGCCUACCGUCAAUUCAAGCUGCGAGUGAGGAAGACACUGUCCAUGUCCCACUUUGGUCCAGAGAGUCUGGAGGACGCAGCUGUGGACUACAUCAUCAGAAACCUGGAUCUCUAUGAUGUUCAAACCAGUGUCAACGAUGUGAUCAACGCUAUGAACGUGAACCCUCGGAUCUCCUUCCCUCCAGAAGUGGACUUUGGUCUCAUCAGUACUUUGAUUGGAGAGACCUGCAGGGUGGCGUUUGCCAUGCAGACACUGGACCCGCCCCUUGAUUUGGCCUUUGCAAGUGAUGGAGAACUUUACAAUGACACCAAGUACCGCCGUAGUUACGACUCCGAGUUCACCGCCCCCCUGGUGCUGUACCACGUGUGGCCAGCCCUGACAGAGAGAGGCAGCGUGAUCGUGAUGGGCGAGGCUGUGACAAGGAGAGAUGCACCGUGGAGAAGAAGCAGGAGCAGGAGUGUCAGCCCCGUUCGCUCUCGAUCUCUCAGUCCAACUCGCAGUCUUGUAAGUCCUUCUGAUGUCUGAGGGUCCAAACACAAACUUAUCGUAGUAAAACCUGGAUAAGUUGCUUUUAUAAUCCCUAACAUGCAUGCACUGACACGGCUCUAAGGAGAUUUAACAGCAACAGAAGUUUGUCUCCUGAACGCCUCACAGCGAGCCAUCUGUGAACUCUGACCUCACUGUCAACACAUCAUUCUGGGCCUCCAGUGUUUGAAUUAGCAGCUGAUUAAACCCAAUUCAAAUGCUCUUCCUGUUCCCCAUGCUGUGCCUCAAUCAAAAGCAUCUCUUUGUUAAUACUAACCAAACAUCGUUCAGUCUACAGGGCAUUUUAUUAUCCUGGCAGCUAAACAAACGCGUGAAUCCACUCUUGUUACUCUUUUUAACUGCAAAUUUAGUGGCAUCAGCAAAAUUGCAGUGCAUCAGUGAAGAAAGACAUCAAAGCAGUUUCUGAGACAGUUAAAACCACAAGCCUACAGAUUAUGAUGCUAUUGUAUACAUGUGUCUAAUCUAAAACUGAUACCGUAGGCUGUUUUGUUGUUCAGCUGCAUCAUUACUUUGUCAUGUUAGAAUUAUGUUUUUUCUACAUCUAACAGCUAGAAGGCCCGUUUGUGGCAUUAAACUCAUAAAAUCACCCAUAAAUGUGCUGUUUUCAUGUUUUUUGGGUAUUGUCAUGUUUGGAGGUACUUUUACGAUUUUGUCUUAUUUGCAGUGACUUCAAAUAUAUGAGGUCUCUAUUGGCUUGAAGGAUAAUAUUCUGUAAAUGUGCCUGUAAUCAGUUACUUUACUUCAGUAAUUAACAACAGACUUUGGCUUUU